GCGGANUGGUGAGUAAAGGCGUGGGUGACCUUAACCUAAGGUUGGGGAUAGCCAUUAGAAUAGUGGGUAAUACCGAAUAUGGUUAUCGGGUUGUGACCUGGUAAAGAAAGGGGNUUUCGGCCCCCGCUNGGGAUGGGCCCGCGUCCCAUUAGCUUGUUGGUGAGGUAAGAGCCCACCAAGGCGAUGAUGGGUAGCCGGCGUGAGAGGGUGAACGGCCACACUGGGACUGAGAUACGGCCCAGACUCCUACGGGAGGCAGCAGCUAAGAAUAUUCCGCAAUGGACGAAAGUCUGACGGAGCGACGCCGCGUGGAUGACGAAGGCCGAAAGGUUGUAAAAUCCUUUUGUUACUGAAGAAUAAGCGGGGGAGGGAAUGCCCCCGUGAUGACGUUAGGUAACG
rnacentral:rRNA from 1 species